GAUGAACGCUGGCGGCGUGCCUAAUACAUGCAAGUCGAGCGAACGGACGAGAAGCUUGCUUUUCUGAUGUUAGCGGCGGACGGGUGAGUAACACGUGGAUAACCUACCUAUAAGACUGGGAUAACUUCGGGAAACCGGAGCUAAUACCGGAUAAUAUUUUGAACCGCAUGGUUCAAAAGUGAAAGACGGUCUUGCUGUCACUUAUAGAUGGAUCCGCGCUGCAUUAGCUAGUUGGUAAGGUAACGGCUUACCAAGGCAACGAUGCAUAGCCGACCUGAGAGGGUGAUCGGCCACACUGGAACUGAGACACGGUCCAGACUCCUACGGGAGGCAGCAGUAGGGAAUCUUCCGCAAAGGGCGAAAGCCUGACGGAGCAACACCGCGUGAGUGAUGAAGGUCUUCGGAUCGUAAAACUCUGUUAUUAGGGAAGAACAUAUGUGUAAGUAACUGUGCACAUCUUGACGGUACCUAAUCAGAAAGCCACGGCUAACUACGUG
rnacentral:rRNA from 1 species